AUCUACGGCCAUACCACCCUGAACGCGCCUGAUAUCAUCUGAUCUUGGAAGCUAAGCAGGGUCAGGCCUGGUUAAUACUUGGAUGGGAGAAGAAAACUCUCUUUCUGUUGGAA
rnacentral:rRNA from 1 species